rfam:Clostridium difficile 630 complete genome
AAACUAAAUAGGCAAAUCUAGAGAAAUCUAGUGACGCAAAGCUAUAGGGACUAAGGUUUAUAUACAUAAACUAUGUCAGCCAGUUGCCAAA